UACGGGGGGAGCAAGCGUUGUUCGGAUUUACUGGGCGUAAAGGGCGCGUAGGCGGCCACCGCAAGUCGACUGUGAAAUCUCCGGGCUUAACCCGGAAAGGUCAGCCGAUACUGCGGGGCUAAAGUGCAGAAGGGGCAACUGGAAUUCUCGGUGUAGCGGUGAAAUGCGUAGAUAUCGAGAGGAACACCUGCGGCGAAGGCGGGUUGCUGGGCUGACACUGACGCUGAGGCGCGAAAGCUAGGGGAGCGAACGGG
rnacentral:rRNA from 1 species